rnacentral:lncRNA from 1 species
AUGUUCUUUGAAAGAAAACUUUACUAUCAAUCUUUUCUACCCCCAGGAACAUUUCAAAUGGGCUUAAAACAUUGUUUUGGAGGUGUGACUAAUGAAGCCAAGGAUAUUAGCAAACAUCAUGAGAGCAGGUAUCAGGUGAAUAGAGAAGAUAUAGAAGAGGUCCUUGGUUUCCGAAUUGCCACUGGAUUGCCUCUAUCAAAUAUCCAAGAGUUUCAUGAGUGGGAAAUAACCUUCUGUUGCUUUAAAUCUUGGGUUGUGCAAUGCAUCAGUGAGCCUACCAUGACUAAUACAUCCUAUGAAUGUAGAUUUCUCUUCUCUAGCCACUGACAUGAGUGUGCAUUCUGGAUGCAG